AUUGAACGCUGGCGGCAGGCCUAACACAUGUAAGUCGAGCGAGCGGCGGACGGGUGAGUAAUGCCUAGGAAUCUGCCUGGUAGUGGGGGAUAACUACUGGAAACGGUAGCUAAUACCGCAUACCAUCAGAUGUGCCCAGAUGGGAUUAGAUAGUAGGUGGGGUAAAGGCUCACCUAGGCGACGAUCCCUAGCUGGUCUGAGAGGAUGACCAGCCACACUGGACCUGAGACACGGUCCAGACUCCUACGGGAGGCAGCAGUGGGGAAUAUUGCACAAUGGGCGCAAGCCUGAUGCAGCCAUGCCGCGUGUGUGAAGAAGGCCUUCGGGUUGUAAAGCACUUUCAGCGUGUAGGCGUUACCCGCAGAAGAAGCACCGGCUAACUCCGUGCCAGCAGCCGCGGUAAUAC
rnacentral:rRNA from 1 species